GAUAUAGUUCUAUUUAACCAAACUAUUCCAAAUUACCAAUCUACAAAGCAUUAGUAAGUAUAGAAAAAUACAUAAAAUAUUUUUGUAAUCCAAAAAAAUAAAACUAAACUUUUAUUGAUAUUAAUGUCUGAAGAAAUUACAAUGUUGCUUGCCAAGAUAUUUUCCCUCUACUGCUGAAAAUACAUGAAAAUUUUACUGUUACCAAUUCUAUUGCUGAAAAAUUGUCAUAAAUUGAAGAGGAAGUGGUUACA
rnacentral:misc_RNA from 1 species